rnacentral:rRNA from 1 species
GACGAACGCUGGCGGCGUGCUUAACACAUGCAAGUCGAACGGUAAGGCCCUUCGGGGUACACGAGUGGCGAACGGGUGAGUAACACGUGGGUGAUCUGCCCUGCACUUCGGGAUAAGCCUGGGAAACUGGGUCUAAUACCGGAUAGGACUCCGGACUGCAUGGUCUGGGGUGGAAAGCUUUUGCGGUGUGGGAUGGGCCCGCGGCCUAUCAGCUUGUUGGUGGGGUGAUGGCCUACCAAGGCGACGACGGGUAGCCGGCCUGAGAGGGGGACCGGCCACACUGGGACUGAGAUACGGCCCAGACUCCUACGGGAGGCAGCAGUGGGGAAUAUUGCACAAUGGGCGCAAGCCUGAGGCAGCGACGCCGCGUGAGGGAUGACGGCCUUCGGGUUGUAAACCUCUUUCAGCAUCGACGAAGCGAAAGUGACGGUACCUGCAGAAAAAGCACCGGCUAACUACGUGCCAGCCGCCGCCGUAA